GUGUUUUUAGAGUCAUCCGAUAAAAUUGGAAUGAUACAGAGAAAAUUAGCAUGACCUCUGCACAAGAAUGACAACACAAAUCAAGAAAUACAAAAAAUACCU